rnacentral:rRNA from 1 species
AGCGAACGCUGGCGGCAGGCCUAACACAUGCAAGUCGAGCGCCCGUAGCAAUACUGGAGCGGCAGACGGGAUAGUAACACGUGGGAACGUACCCUUCAGUUCGGAACAACCCAGGGAAACUUGGGCUAAUACCGAAUACGUCCGUAAGGAGAAAGAUUUAUCGCUGAAGGAUCGGCCCGCGUCUGAUUAGCUAGUUGGUGAGGUAAUGGCUCACCAAGGCGACGAUCAGUAGCUGGUCUGAGAGGAUGAUCAGCAUCACUGGGACUGAGACACGGCCCAGACUCCUACGGGAGGCAGCAGUGGGGAAUAUUGGACAAUGGGCGCAAGCCUGAUCCAGCCAUGCCGCGUGGAUGAUGAAGGCCCUAGGGUUGUAAAGUCCUUUCGGCGGGGAAGAUAAUGACGGUACCCGCAGAAGAAGCCCCGGCUAACUUCGUGCCAGCAGCCGCGGU